rnacentral:rRNA from 1 species
GACGAACGCUGGCGGCGUGCUUAACACAUGCAAGUCGAACGGAAAGGCCCUGCUUUUGUGGGGUGCUCGCGUGGCGAGCGGGUGAGUAACACGUGAGUAACCUGCCCUUGACUUUGGGAUAACUUCAGGAAACUGGGGAUAAUACCGGAUAGGUGCUCCUGCUCCAUGGUGGGGGUUGGAAAGUUUCGGCGGUUGGGGAUGGACUCGCGGCUUAUCAGCUUGUUGGUGGGGUAGUGGCUUACCAAGGCUUUGACGGGUAGCCGGCCUGGGAGGGUGACCGGCGACAUUGUGACAGAGAUACGGCCCAGACUCCUACGGGAGGCAGAAGAGGGGAAUAUUGCACAAUGGGCGAAAACCUGAUGCAGCAACGCCGCGUGCGGGAUAACGGCCUUCGGGGUGUAAACCGCUUUCGCCUGUGACGAAGCGUGAGUGACGGUAAUGGGUAAAGAAGCACCGGCUAACUACGUG